GGUUGCUAAGCUAUAGCUAAAUACUGUUCCACUGCUUCAAAUAAUUACAGCAGAAAAUUAUUGUCUGUCUUUUUUUUUUUUCUAGACCUGCUCCAGUUAAUAACGCAGCCAAAUUUUAUUGAUCUCACACAUGAAUCCGAUGAACAGGCGGGUCCCAGCACCGCUAACAAUAACCGAAAUCCAGCACACAGCCCCUUGAGAAAAAAAAGAGCGAUCGCCAAGGUCAUUCCGGCACCGAGAGAAGAUUCACACAACAAUAGAUCAUCAGAGCCUGACCGAAACGAUGAUACCGAACCUGAGAUAAUUCAAGACAGAUCGCCCCGCAUUGCGGACAAUGUGCUAACUGGACCGAUACACAAAUAAAUGACUGGGA